rnacentral:snRNA from 1 species
AAUUUUUAUAGCUCUUUUAGAAUUUUUCUAACAGGAUUUCUGACCAAGAAUUCCUUA